rfam:Schistosoma mansoni, Puerto Rico, WGS project CABG01000000 data, contig: 0034
AUCCAUCUGACGAGUUCCAAAUAGGACGAAACGCGCAUCCUGGAU